rnacentral:rRNA from 1 species
GACGAACGCUGGCGGCGUGCUUAACACAUGCAAGUCGAACGGAAAGGCCCUGCUUGCAGGGUACUCGAGUGGCGAACGGGUGAGUAACACGUGGGUGAUCUGCCCUGCACUUCGGGAUAAGCCUGGGAAACUGGGUCUAAUACCGGAUAGGAGCCAUUUUUAGUGGGAUGGUUGGAAGGUUUUUUCGGUGUAGGAUGAGCUCGCGGCCUAUCAGCUUGUUGGUGGGGUAAUGGCCUACCAAGGCGGCGACGGGUAGCCGGCCUGAGAGGGUGGACGGCCACAUUGGGACUGAGAUACGGCCCAGACUCCUACGGGAGGCAGCAGUGGGGAAUAUUGCACAAUGGGCGCAAGCCUGAUGCAGCGACGCCGCGUGGGGGAUGACGGCCUUCGGGUUGUAAACUCCUUUCGCUAGGGACGAAGCUUUUUGUGACGGUACCUAGAUAAGAAGCACCGGCUAACUACGUG